rnacentral:rRNA from 1 species
UACGUAGGGUGCAAGCGUUGUCCGGAAUUAUUGGGCGUAAAGAGCUCGUAGGCGGUCUGUCGCGUCGGCUGUGAAAACCCGGAGCUCAACUCCGGGCCUGCAGUCGAUACGGGCAGACUAGAGGUAUGCAGGGGAGAACGGAAUUCCUGGUGUAGCGGUGAAAUGCGCAGAUAUCAGGAGGAACACCGGUGGCGAAGGCGGUUCUCUGGGCAUUACCUGACGCUGAGGAGCGAAAGUGUGGGGAGCGAACAGG